GGGGGUAUAGCUCACUCGUAGAGCGCAUGCUUAGCACGCACGAGGUCCUGAGUUCCAUCCCCACUACCUCCA
rnacentral:tRNA from 1 species